AUGUCAAGUCUCAUUGCUUCAUCCGCCCAAUAAUGCCACUCAGGUAAUCCCAUUCACUGGACAUGAUCCCUGGGACUCAUUUUCAUCUUGAAUUCCAGAGGCUAUGCCGGAAAGCUGACCAAGUGGAGAUUCAUUUUUCAGGGCUGUGAAGUCAAUUGCCUGAGGGCUGUUUGCUGCUACCCAAGGAUUCCCAACCACAAGCACACCCUCAGCAAAUCAUCCCACAACGAAAAGUCUGCCUUUGUCAAAAGAAGGUGUAAUAGUCUCGCACUUCCAGGCAGAGACGGGUAUGCCUGGAAGCAGGUUGCAAAGCCAGAUUCUCCACUAUUCCCAGUCUGAAAUAUGCCAAGUGGAAACACUGCUCUGUGGCACACUCACAAUGGAGAAUUAACGCAAGGCCAGAGACUUCUGGCUCCACAUAGAGGAGUUGCUGUGAUGUCACAGAGUGUUAACCAAUAGCCAAACUGCAGAACAUGAAAACUGCGGCACGAAAAAGCAGAUUAACAAUAGAGGUGGCAGCAUCAUUUCACUCACGCGCUUCCAGGCAGAACACCAUUUUGGCUAAUAGCCCAGCCGGAGGGCAGGGCAACGGAGACAUCACCUGAGGCGACAGCAGCAAAGAAAUACUUACCAAGGGAGCUGAAAUCUGAGAGGCCAUGUUGCCAACUUUCCAAACCCCAUUAACUUGUGACCUAGAUUUAACUCACCAGUGGGAGUAUCCCAUUUGUCAAACGACUGCCAUCGCUGGCCAGAGAGUUCAACUACACUGCUUUCCCUUUCCAAAAUAAAACAUCUUAAAACAA